GGAGGUAGUGACAAUAAAUCACAAUGCGGGACUAUCAGUCUUGCAAUUGGAUUGAGAACAAUGUACAACUCUUAUCGAUAAGCCAUUGGAGGGCAAGUCUGGUGCCAGCAGCCGCGGUAAUUCCAGCUCCAAUAGCGUAUAUUAACGUUGUUGCAGUUAAAAAGCUCGUAGUUGAAGUGUGGGUGAUGCUGUUUGUGAGACUUCGGUCUCUCGACAGUAAGUCACCCCCUUCCAGUAUCCAGUAGUGGGUAUUCAGUUACUUACUAUUGUGUGUUGGUCGUUUACUGUGAGAAAAUUAGAGUGUUCAAAGCAGGCGUUUGCUUGAAUAGAUUAGCAUGGAAUAAUAAUUGAAGGCUUUCGUGUUCGAUUUGAUUGGUUUGUUCAUGGAAGCAAGGUUAAAAGGAACAGUUGGGGGUAUUCAUAUUCACUAGUUAGAGGUGAAAUUCUCGGAUUUAUGGAAGAUGAACAAGUGCGAAAGCA
rnacentral:rRNA from 1 species